rnacentral:snRNA from 1 species
AUGAUUGCCGGGAACUCCGUGAUCAGGAAGGCGGAGACCCCAGGAGGAGGCCCUUCCAUUGCACUUCGGAAGGGCUGAGACCUGCCACUCUCCCAAACUGGGAAAGAUGGGGCAUGUAAUUUUUGGUAGAGGGGGUAACUAGCGCACACCAU